UUCAAUUUCUUUCUUUAUGGCAAAAUUGAAUGGAUCUGGAUGAGUGCGAUGGAAUACGUUUCGCAAAAUUGAUGAUGAAUUAAAGAUUUAAUUAAGUCGAAACCUCCCCUUGAAUCGUAUAAUAGAUGAACUUUUGUUUAUAUUAUUUGGAUUCUGAUGAUUUUAGUUCUAUGAUCAAUUAAUUAAUUCAUUGAUAAUUGCAGAUUCUACAAUCAUUUUGAAGCGAAGCAGUUUCACCACUUCAAUCCUGAGGACUCUUCAUUUCCCAAAGUCCAAUUCUUCUACUCUUAAUUUCUUAACUGGUAGCAAAUGGAUUUGUUAGGGUUUUUUUUAGCAUUUUUACAAUUUUAGCAUAUCUAUACAUUUUCCCUCAAAUCAAUUGCCCCAAAUCGCUUACAACCAUUCUCACUAUUAGAAUCACGGUUCAGUGUUCUCACCACCGAAAACAGCCACCGUCUCACCUGACGCCGCGGUCGUCUCUGUCAUGACAUUCGAUUCUUAACCAACACAGGGUUUAGGAUUCAGUAAAUGUGUGUUCAUAUGGUUGAAUUUCUACAUGUUGCGCCCACAACCGGGUCUGCAUAUCGGCACUAUGAGGUUCGUUUCUUUUUCCUCUACUACGCAUUAUUCAAUAUUUUUUGAAUCGAUUGUUUUUAGAGUGAUUUGAGUUUUAUUCAUAACUGUGAAACAAGGAUUUGAAAGCGGUUAAUUGUUAUAUCCAGCUGAUGUACUCAUCUAUAUGUAUUGAGAGAUUAGAGAAAAUGUUUUUUUCCUUUUUAUUAAUGGAAUUAGAUCUGUUGAUUAAAUGUAAUUCUUUAAACCAUUAGUUGAUUUCUAUCCUACAUGGAUACACAAUAUUUAGGACUAAAUACAUAUUCUUACAUAAAAUGCGUAUAUGUUAUUGUUGGUAGGGAAUGAUGGUGUUGGUAUUUCAACCCGCGGAGGAAGGUGGCAGCGAUGCAAAAGAUAGUGGAUAUCUUGAGAAUGUGAAAGCCAUAUUCGGUCUGCAUGUUUCUCCAGACCACCCUCUUGGUCAAGUUUUCUCUCAGUCUGGUCCUGUAUUGGCGGGUAGUGAUGUUUUAGAAGCGGUCUUAACCGGAAAAGGAGGUCAUGCCGCCAUUCCCCAGCAUUCAAUCGACCCUAUUUUAGCAGCCUCAAACGUUGUUGUUAGUUUACAGCAUCUUGUAUCAAGAGAACCCGAUCCUCUUGAUUCUUAGGUUGUUACCGUUGCCAAGUUUCAUGGUGGUGGUGCUUUUAAUGUUAUUCCAGAUUCUGUCACCAUUGGUGGAACUUUUAGAGCUUUCUCUAAAGAAACUUUCAUGCGACUCAGGCAACGAAUAUAAGAGGUGAUUGUAGGGUCGGAAGAAAACCGGAGCGGUUAGCUCAAGAAGUGUACCGAGAGAUUGCAGGGUCGGAUGAUAUGAAAGAUAGUAUGGUUGAUGAGCUCGUUGAUAAGGAUAUGAGCGGUUGUAGUUACAAAAAUAUACUUCUAUAUGAUUUUUUCAUCAUUUAAAGGUUUAAGGUUUGAGUUAUGUUUCCGCCCUAUAUUAUCGACUUCGCUGCAACGCACGGGU